rnacentral:rRNA from 1 species
UACGAAGGGGGCUAGCGUUGCUCGGAAUUACUGGGCGUAAAGCGCACGUAGGCGGACUCUUAAGUCGGGGGUGAAAGCCCAGGGCUCAACCCUGGAACUGCCUUCGAUACUGGGAGUCUUGAGUGUGGAAGAGGUUGGUGGAACUGCGAGUGUAGAGGUGAAAUUCGUAGAUAUUCGCAAGAACACCAGUGGCGAAGGCGACUUACUGGACACAUAUUGACGCUGAGGUGCGAAAGCGUGGGGAGCAAACAGG